GACGUAGGGCGCAAGCGUUGUCCGGAUUUAUUGGGCGUAAAGAGCUCGUAGGCGGCCUGUCGCGUCGACCGUGAAAACCCGCAGCUCAACUGCGGGCUUGCGGUCGAUACGGGCAGGCUGGAGUACUGCAGGGGAGACUGGAAUUCCUGGUGUAGCGGUGGAAUGCGCAGAUAUCAGGAGGAACACCGGUGGCGAAGGCGGGUCUCUGGGCAGUAACUGACGCUGAGGAGCGAAAGCGUGGGGAGCGAACAGG
rnacentral:rRNA from 1 species